rnacentral:rRNA from 1 species
AUUGAACGCUGGCGGCAGGCCUAACACAUGCAAGUCGAGCGAGCGGCGGACGGGUGAGUAAUGUCUGGGAAACUGCCUGAUGGAGGGGGAUAACUACUGGAAACGGUAGCUAAUACCGCAUACCAUCAGAUGUGCGCAGAUGGGAGUAGCUAGUAGGUGGGGGAACGGCUCACCUAGCCGACGAUACCUAGCUGGUCUGAGAGGAUGACCAGCAACACGGAACCGGAGCAACGGUCCAACCUCCAACGGGAGGCAGCAGUGGGGAAUAUUGAACAAUGGGAGCAAGCCUGAUGCAGCCAUGCGGGGUGUGUGAAGAAGGCCUUCGGGUUGUAAAGCACGUUCAGCGGGGAGGCGUUACCCACAGAAGAAGCACCGGCUAACUCCGUGCCAGCAGCCGCGGUAAUAC